rnacentral:lncRNA from 1 species
CUGUGGAGGACAGGCAAGCAUUGAGUUCUUGUUCCUUAAAGAGAACACGUGAGAGUGUGUGUUUUCAAAGAGUUAAAGACCUCUGUGUUGUCAUCAAGCUAUGUACUGUCCAUUAUGGGCAGUGCCUUCAUGUCGUCACUGCUGGCUGCUAUGCAGGUUCCCAUCCCAUGGUGAUGGUUUUAUGUGUUUUUCACUUUCCUGGUGGGGCCAACUAGCACCAUGAAUUGAUGGCUGAUUGGACUAAUUAUCUGUUGUUGUUGACCCAUCGAAGGAGAUGAUGGAGGGAGAGGGGGGUUGCUCGCUCAAGUUUCCAGAUGAGAGAAUUUAUGAUAGCGUUACAAAUCCAGGUAAAGUUUCACUUCUAGCUCUGUUUUUUCUCCUUUUUUUUAAGGAAAAAAAAAAGAGAAUUCUUAAAUAAUAUCAUUUCAAGGUUUUUUUUAACCAUAGUUAUAUAUAUAUAUGAAGAACAAUUUGGAAUGGAAUUGGACAGCAGGUCCAUUUUAGAAUCACUUUCGACUACUUGUUCGUUAGAGUUUCAAUCCUUCAUCAAGAGAUUUGGUUGAUCCAGAACGAAUCUACUUUUCUUGGCCCACUUCAAUCUGGACAAGAAAAUAACUAGAGGUGCACUCACUGCCUACUUGAGCUAAUACUCCAACAAUUCUAAUGGAUAAACUCAAUGCAUUGACUCAAAGCUGAGAGAGAUUGCCAUCCCCACCCCUGGGGGGCAUGAUCAGGUUCAAGCCACUACUGUCUCCCCUCCAUUAGCACACACUAUAUACCUUGAAAAACAUGAAAGAAAGAAGGAUUCAGGAUUCAUGAAUUGGAAAAUAUUAGUUUAACUGAUAAAAAAAAGUAAACUGUCAUCUCAAAGAUGAAGAAUGAACUUAUUAGUCAUCUUGAUAUUGAAAGGUUUGAGUUAGUCAUCGAAACAUGGGAAAAAGAAUAAAGUAAUUAGGAUAAAUUCUCUUAUUGUCAUCAAUCAACAACAAAACAAAAGACUACGACACAAGAUAUGUUGGAUUACAAUACACACUAAUUUGAAAUCUUGAACAGAGAAUUUUGCAUCAUAUCUUCUAUGGUUAUAAUGAGAUCACGCUCAGAACAUCAUCGUGCAGAACAAGACUAAAGCAGUAAAGUAAUGGUAAUAAAAUGGGUUCAGAAUGAAAGGAAAAAGGGUGCAGAUAGCUUGAUUAGCUCAUGCAUCCACAACUGCUUUAAACCUUUCAAGUGUCACUCUGGUAUAGGGCUCAUUCAAUGGAGACGGCCUUGAGUUGAUGCAAAGUAAGCUGCUCAUUUAUCAGCCUAAAUUUCUCUUUGAGCCUCUUGAUCUGCAAAAAAAGAGUCAUUUAGUUAACAAGCAAACUAGAGAAUGCCAGGAUUAACAGAUUUCCAACAGAAAGGAUCAAAAAAAGAAAUGGAAAUAAAGAAAAUAAAAACCCUUUUAAGGUCCAUCUCUGUUUCUAGCUUCCGUUGGCUGAAAGAGUGUCGCAAGUUGGUGAUGUCAAAAACGUUAUCUAAAUCAUCUACAAAUGCUGAUUCUAGGUCCUGCAGAAGAAGUGCUGGCAACUUGUCUACAACCGGCAUCAAAAGAAAACAGUUGAACUGCAGAGGACACAUGCAAACUGUGAAAAGCUC